GACGAACGCUGGCGGCGUGCUUAACACAUGCAAGUCGAACGGAAAGGCCCUGCUUUUGUGGGGUGCUCGAGUGGCGAACGGGUGAGUAACACGUGAGUAACCUGCCCUUGACUUUGGGAUAACUUCAGGAAACUGGGGCUAAUACCGGAUAGGAGCUCCUGCUGCACGGUGGGGGUUGGAAAGUUUCGGCGGUUGGGGAUGGACUCGCGGCUUAUCAGCUUGUUGGUGGGGUAGUGGCUUACCAAGGCUUUGACGGGUAGCCGGCCUGAGAGGGUGACCGGCCACAUUGGGACUGGGGUGCUGCCCAGGCCCCUACGGGCGGCAGCAGUGGGGUAUAUUGCACGCUGGGCGGAAGCCUGAUGCAGCAACGCCGCGUUCGGGAUGACGGCCUUCGGUUUGUACACCGCUUUCGCCUGUGACCAAGCGUGAGUGACGGUAAUGGGUAAAGAAGCACCGGCUAACUACGUG
rnacentral:rRNA from 1 species